GAUCAGUAGGGGUUCUGAGAGGAAGGUCCCCCACAUUGGAACUGAGACACGGUCCAAACUCCUACGGGAGGCAGCAGUGAGGAAUAUUGGUCAAUGAACGAGAGUCUGAACCAGCCAAGUAGCGUGCAGGAAGACGGCCCUAUGGGUUGUAAACUGCUUUUAUAAGGGAAUAAAGUGAGUCUCGUGAGACUUUUUGCAUGUACCUUAUGAAUAAGGACCGGCUAAUUCCGUGCCAGCAGCCGCGGUAAUACGGAAGGUCCGGGCGUUAUCCGGAUUUAUUGGGUUUAAAGGGAGCGUAGGCCGGAGAUUAAGCGUGUUGUGAAAUGUAGAUGCUCAACAUCUGCACUGCAGCGCGAACUGGUUUCCUUGAGUACGCACAAAGUGGGCGGAAUUCGUGGUGUAGCGGUGAAAUGCUUAGAUAUCACGAAGAACUCCGAUUGCGAAGGCAGCUCACUGGAGCGCAACUGACGCUGAAGCUCGAAAGUGCGGGUAUCGAACAGGAUUAGAUACCCUGGUAGUCCGCACGGUAAACGAUGGAUGCCCGCUGUUGGUCUGAAUAGGUCAGCGGCCAAGCGAAAGCAUUAAGCAUCCCACCUGGGGAGUA
rnacentral:rRNA from 1 species